AUUGAACGCUGGCGGCAUGCCUUACACAUGCAAGUCGAACGGUAACAGGUCUUCGGAUGCUGACGAGUGGCGAACGGGUGAGUAAUACAUCGGAACGUGCCUAGUAGUGGGGGAUAACUACUCGAAAGAGUGGCUAAUACCGCAUGAGAUCUACGGAUGAAAGCAGGGGAUCGCAAGACCUUGUGCUACUAGAGCGGCCGAUGGCAGAUUAGGUAGUUGGUGGGAUAAAAGCUUACCAAGCCGACGAUCUGUAGCUGGUCUGAGAGGACGAUCAGCCACACUGGGACUGAGAAACGGCCCAGACUCCAACGGGAGGCAGCAGUGGGGAAUUUUGGACAAUGGGCGAAAGCCUGAUCCAGCAAUGCCGCGUGCAGGAUGAAGGCCUUCGGGUUGUAAACUGCUUUUGUACGGAACGAAAAGCCCCGGGUUAAUACCCUGGGGUCAUGACGGUACCGUAAGAAUAAGCACCGGCUAACUACGUGCCAGCAGCCGCCGUAAUAC
rnacentral:rRNA from 1 species